CCUACGGGUGGCAGCAGUGAGGAAUAUUGGUCAAUGGACGAGAGUCUGAACCAGCCAAGUAGCGUGAAGGAUGACUGCCCUAUGGGUUGUAAACUUCUUUUAUAUGGGAAUAAAAUGUUCCACGUGUGGGAUUUUGUAUGUACCAUAUGAAUAAGGAUCGGCUAACUCCGUGCCAGCAGCCGCGGUAAUACGGAGGAUCCGAGCGUUAUCCGGUUUUAUUGGGUUUAAAGGGAGCGUAGGUGGAUUGUUAAGUCAGUUGUGAAAGUUUGCGGCUCAACCGUAAAAUUGCAGUUGAAACUGGCAGUCUUGAGUACAGUAGAGGUGGGCGGAAUUCGUGGUGUAGCGGUGAAAUGCUUAGAUAUCACGAAGAACUCCGAUUGCGAAGGCAGUUCACUGGACUGCAACUGACACUGAGGCUCGAAAGUGUGGGUAUCAAACAGGAUUAGAUACCCGAGUAGU
rnacentral:rRNA from 1 species